rnacentral:rRNA from 1 species
UACAGAGGUCCCAAGCGUUGUUCGGAUUCAUUGGGCGUAAAGGGUGCGUAGGCGGCGCGGUAAGUCGGGUGUGAAAUCUCGGGGCUUAACUCCGAAACUGCAUUCGAUACUGCCGUGCUUGAGGACUGGAGAGGAGACUGGAAUUUACGGUGUAGCGGUGAAAUGCGUAGAUAUCGAUAAGGAAGACCAGUGGCGAAGGCGGGUCUCUGGACAGUUCCUGACGCUGAGGCACGAAGGCCGUAGGGAGCAAACAGGG